GAUGAACGCUGGCGGCGUGCCUAAUACAUGCAAGUCGAGCGAACGGACGAGAAGCUUGCUUUUCUGAUGUUAGCGGCGGACGGGUGAGUAACACGUGGAUAACCUACCUAUAAGACUGGGAUAACUUCAGGAAACCGGAGCUAAUACCGGAUAAUAUUUUGAACCGCAUGGUUCAAAAGUGAAAGACGGUCUUGCUGUCACUUAUAGAUGGAUCCGCGCUGCAUUAGCUAGUUGGUAAGGUAACGGCUUACCAAGGCAACGAUGCAUAGCCGACCUGAGAGGGUGAUCGGCCACACUGGAACUGAGACACGGUCCAGACUCCUACGGGAGGCAGCAGUAGGGAAUCUUCCGCAAUGGGCGAAAGCCUGACGGAGCAACGCCGCGUGAGUGAUGAAGGUCUUCGGAUCGUAAAACUCUGUUAUUAGGGAAGAACAUAUGUGUAAGUAACUGUGCACAUCUUGACGGUACCUAAUCAGAAAGCCACGGCUAGCUACGUG
rnacentral:rRNA from 1 species